GUGCUCACUUCGGCAGCACAUGUACUAAAAUUGGAACAAUACAGAGAUUAGCAUGGUCCCUGUGAACGGAUGACAUGCAAAUUCAUGACGUCAAUCAGCUUGAU